rnacentral:rRNA from 1 species
UACGGGGGGAGCAAGCGUUGUUCGGAUUUACUGGGCGUAAAGGGCGCGUAGGCGGUCAGCACAAGUCAGUUGUGAAAUCUCCGGGCUUAACUCGGAAAGGUCAACUGAUACUGUGCGACUAGAGUGCAGAAGGGGCAACUGGAAUUCCCAGUGUAGCGGUGAAAUGCGUAGAUAUCAAGUGGAACACCAGUGGCGAAGGCGAGUCUCUGGACAUUUCCUGACGCUGAGGCACGAAAGCCAGGGGAGCAAACGGG